rnacentral:rRNA from 1 species
UACGAAGGGGGCUAGCGUUGCUCGGAAUCACUGGGCGUAAAGCGCACGUAGGCGGAUCUUUAAGUCAGGGGUGAAAUCCCAAGGCUCAACCUUGGAACUGCCUUUGAUAUUGGGGAUCUCGAGUCCGGAAGAGGUUGGUGGAACUGCGAGUGUAGAGGUGAAAUUCGUAGAUAUUCGCAAGAACACCAGUGGCGAAGGCGGCCAACUGGUCCGGUACUGACGCUGAGGUGCGAAAGCGUGGGGAGCAAACAGG